rnacentral:rRNA from 1 species
GAUGAACGCUGGCGGCGUGCCUAAUACAUGCAAGUCGAGCGAACGGACGAGAAGCUUGCUUCUCUGAUGUUAGCGGCGGACGGGUGAGUAACACGUGGAUAACCUACCUAUAAGACUGGGAUAACUUCGGGAAACCGGAGCUAAUACCGGAUAAUAUUUUGAACCGCAUGGUUCAAAAGUGAAAGACGGUCUUGCUGUCACUUAUAGAUGGAUCCGCGCUGCAUUAGCUAGUUGGUAAGGUAACGGCUUACCAAGGCAACGAUGCAUAGCCGACCUGAGAGGGUGAUCGGCCACACGGGAACUGAGACACGGUCCAUACUCCUACGGGAGGCAGCAGUCGGGAAUCUUCCGCAAUGGUCGAAAGCCUGACGGAGCAACGCCGCGUGAGUGAUGAAGGUCUUCGGAUCGUAAAACUCUGUUAUUAGGGAAGAACAUAUUUGUAAGUAACUGUGCACAUCUUGACGGUACCUAAUCAGAAAGCCACGGCUAACUACGUG